GUAAGAUUUCCUAGAGGUGGAACCUCCAAGCCCACUCAGAUACUUAAUGGGAGCCGCCGUUAUGAUGAUCGGAGUCGUAUUACCCGUCGGUUACAUGAUGUUCCGGAACAAGCGCGUUCCCUCAUCUUCUUCCUAUUCCAAACAGACGUAGGGACAAGGUUCUGAUAUAGAGACGUAACCGAAUGCGAGAGCUGCGAUUUACUGGAUCUGGAUUUGUCAGGUUAUGUUUGAAGUUGAUUUAUAGGAGACUUAACCAGAUUCAAAAUUAGGUCAAUUGUAAAUGCAAUGAGAUCCUGUUUCUUGUUAGUGGGUUCGUCUCCAAAUUCUGAACUCCGAUACCAAGAAAUUAUAUGAUUGGGACUUGCAUUCCAUUUUUUCUCUCGGAUCUGAAAUCUCUUGUAGCUCCCUAAUUUCUAUUAUGGGUUGGGGAAUAUUACACCGUAAAAUGUCGUUGUUCUUUUAUAUUUUA